rnacentral:rRNA from 1 species
UACGUAGGGGGCAAGCGUUGUCCGGAUUUAUUGGGCGUAAAGAGCGUGUAGGCGGCCAGGUAGGUCAGCUGUGAAAACUCGAGGCUCAACCUCGAGACGCCGGUUGAAACCAUCUGGCUAGAGUCCGGAAGAGGAGAGUGGAAUUCCUGGUGUAGCGGUGAAAUGCGCAGAUAUCAGGAGGAACACCGGUGGCGAAGGCGGGUCUCUGGGCCGAUAUUGACGCUGAGGAGCGAAAGCGUGGGGAGCAAACAGG